rnacentral:rRNA from 1 species
GAUGAACGCUGGCGGCGUGCUUAACACAUGCAAGUCGAACGGAAAGGCCCAAGCUUGCUUGGGUACUCGAGUGGCGAACGGGUGAGUAACACGUGGGUGAUCUGCCCUGCACUUCGGGAUAAGCCUGGGAAACUGGGUCUAAUACCGGAUAGGACGAUGGUUUGGAUGCCAUUGUGGAAAGUUUUUUCGGUGUGGGAUGAGCUCGCGGCCUAUCAGCUUGUUGGUGGGGUAAUGGCCUACCAAGGCGUCGACGGGUAGCCGGCCUGAGAGGGUGUACGGCCACAUUGGGACUGAGAUACGGCCCAGACUCCUACGGGAGGCAGCAGUGGGGAAUAUUGCACAAUGGGCGCAAGCCUGAUGCAGCGACGCCGCGUGGGGGAUGACGGCCUUCGGGUUGUAAACUCCUUUCGCCAGGGACGAAGCGUUUUUGUGACGGUACCUGGAGAAGAAGCACCGGCUAACUACGUG